CAGUACGAAUACGAACCGUG
rnacentral:snRNA from 1 species